rnacentral:rRNA from 1 species
GCCAGCUGCCAAAUCACCCUGCAACUUUCCACUGGCAACCCACUGAAGUUAAUUAGGUGUGAGUCUGAUCAGUUCCUGGAUGGGAGACCUCUUGGGAAAGUUAAGGUUGCUGCUGGAA